UACGUAGGGUGCAAGCGUUGUCCGGAAUUAUUGGGCGUAAAGCGCGUGUAGGCGGCUCGAUAAGUCUGCUGUGAAAGUCCAGGGCUCAACCCUGGGAUGCCGGUGGAUACUGUCGAGCUCGAGUCCGGAAGAGGCGAGUGGAAUUCCUGGUGUAGCGGUGAAAUGCGCAGAUAUCAGGAGGAACACCAAUGGCGAAGGCAGCUCGCUGGGACGGUACUGACGCUGAGACGCGAAAGCGUGGGGAGCGAACAGG
rnacentral:rRNA from 1 species